UUGAACGCUGGCGGCAGGCCUAACACAUGCAAGUCGAACGGUAACAGGAAGCAGCUUGCUGCUUCGCUGACGAGUGGCGGACGGGUGAGUAAUGUCUGGGAAACUGCCUGAUGGAGGGGGAUAACUACUGGAAACGGUAGCUAAUACCGCAUAAUGUCGCAAGACCAAAGAGGGGGACCUUAGGGCCUCUUGCCAUCGGAUGUGCCCAGAUGGGAUUAGCUUGUUGGUGGGGUAACGGCUCACCAAGGCGACGAUCCCUAGCUGGUCUGAGAGGAUGACCAGCCACACUGGAACUGAGACACGGUCCAGACUCCUACGGGAGGCAGCAGUGGGGAAUAUUGCACAAUGGGCGCAAGCCUGAUGCAGCCAUGCCGCGUGUAUGAAGAAGGCCUUCGGGUUGUAAAGUACUUUCAGCGGGGAGGAAGGGAGUAAAGUUAAUACCUUUGCUCAUUGACGUUACCCGCAGAAGAAGCACCGGCUAACUCCGUGCCAGCAGCCGCGGUAAUACGGAGGGUGCAAGCGUUAAUCGGAAUUACUGGGCGUAAAGCGCACGCAGGCGGUUUGUUAAGUCAGAUGUGAAAUCCCCGGGCUCAACCUGGGAACUGCAUCUGAUACUGGCAAGCUUGAGUCUCGUAGAGGGGGGUAGAAUUCCAGGUGUAGCGGUGAAAUGCGUAGAGAUCUGGAGGAAUACCGGUGGCGAAGGCGGCCCCCUGGACGAAGACUGACGCUCAGGUGCGAAAGCGUGGGGAGCAAACAGGAUUAGAUACCCUGGUAGUCCACGCCGUAAACGAUGUCGACUUGGAGGUUGUGCCCUUGAGGCGUGGCUUCCGGAGCUAACGCGUUAAGUCGACCGCCUGGGGAGUACGGCCGCAAGGUUAAAACUCAAAUGAAUUGACGGGGGCCCGCACAAGCGGUGGAGCAUGUGGUUUAAUUCGAUGCAACGCGAAGAACCUUACCUGGUCUUGACAUCCACGGAAGUUUUCAGAGAUGAGAAUGUGCCUUCGGGAACCGUGAGACAGGUGCUGCAUGGCUGUCGUCAGCUCGUGUUGUGAAAUGUUGGGUUAAGUCCCGCAACGAGCGCAACCCUUAUCCUUUGUUGCCAGCGGUCCGGCCGGGAACUCAAAGGAGACUGCCAGUGAUAAACUGGAGGAAGGUGGGGAUGACGUCAAGUCAUCAUGGCCCUUACGACCAGGGCUACACACGUGCUACAAUGGCGCAUACAAAGAGAAGCGACCUCGCGAGAGCAAGCGGACCUCAUAAAGUGCGUCGUAGUCCGGAUUGGAGUCUGCAACUCGACUCCAUGAAGUCGGAAUCGCUAGUAAUCGUGGAUCAGAAUGCCACGGUGAAUACGUUCCCGGGCCUUGUACACACCGCCCGUCACACCAUGGGAGUGGGUUGCAAAAGAAGUAGGUAGCUUAACCUUCGGGAGGGCGCUUACCACUUUGUGAUUCAUGACUGGGGUG
rnacentral:rRNA from 1 species